rnacentral:rRNA from 1 species
AAUAGAUACCCCGGUAGUCCACCCCGUAAACGUUGGGAACUAGUUGUGGGGUCCUUUCCACGGAUUCCGUGACGCAGCUAACGCAUUAAGUUCCCCGCCUGGGGAGUACGGCCGCAAGGCUAAAACUCAAAGGAAUUGAUGGGGACCCGCACAAGCGGCGGAGCAUGCGGAUUAAUUCGAUGCAACGCGAAGAACCUUACCAAGGCUUGACAUACACCAGAACACCCUAGAAAUAGGGGACUCUUUGGACACUGGUGAACAGGUGGUGCAUGGUUGUCGUCAGCUCGUGUCGUGAGAUGUUGGGUUAAGUCCCGCAACGAGCGCAACCCUCGUUCUAUGUUGCCAGCACGUAAUGGUGGGAACUCAUGGGAUACUGCCGGGGUCAACUCGGAGGAAGGUGGGGAUGACGUCAAAUCAUCAUGCCCCUUAUGUCUUGGGCUUCACGCAUGCUACAAUGGCCGGUACAAAGGGCUGCAAUACCGUGAGGUGGAGCGAAUCCCAAAAAGCCGGUCCCAGUUCGGAUUGAGGUCUGCAACUCGACCUC